rnacentral:rRNA from 1 species
UAAAAACCCCGACUUCGGAAGGGGUGUAUUUAUUAGAUACAAAACCAAUGCCCUUCGGGGCUCUUUGGUGAUUCAUGAUAACUAUACGAAUCGCACGGCCUUGCGCCGGCGAUGGUUCAUUCAAAUUUCUUCCCUAUCAACUUUCGAUGUUUGGGUAUUGGCCAAACAUGGUUGCAACGGGUAACGGAGGGUUAGGGCUCGACCCCGGAGAAGGAGCCUGAGAAACGGCUACUACAUCCAAGGAAGGCAGCAGGCGCGCAAAUUACCCAAUCCCGACUCGGGGAGGUAGUGACAAUAAAUACUGAUACAGGGCCCUUUCGGGCCUUGUAAUUGGAAUGAGUACAAUUUAAAUCCCUUAACGGGGAGCAAUUGGAGGGCAAGUCUGGUGCCAGCAGCCGCGGUAAUUCCAGCUCCAAUAGCGUAUAUUAAAGUUGUUGUGGUUAAAAAGCUCGUAGUUGAACCUUGGGCCUGGCUGGCCGGUCCGCCUCACCGCGUGCACUGGUCCGGCCGGGCCUUUCCCUCUGUGGAACCCCAUACCCUUCACUGGGCGUGGCGGGGAAACAGGACAUUUACUUU